rnacentral:misc_RNA from 1 species
GCAAACUUGGUCAUUUAGAGGAAGUAAAAGUCGUAACAAGGUUUCCGUAGGUGAACCUGCGGAAGGAUCAUUAAUGAAUAAACUUGGUCGAGCUGUUGCUGGUCCUUCGGGGCAUGUGCACGCUUGCCACCAAUUUUAACCACCUGUGCACUUUAUGUAGACUGGAAACGAUUCUCGAGGCAACUCGGAUUGAGGACUGCUGUGCGCAAGCCAGCUGUCCUUGUGUUUCUCAGUCUAUGUUUUUCAUAUACCCCGAAUGUAUGUAUUAGAAUGUAUUGCUAGGCCUUAGUGCCUUUAAAUCAAAUACAACUUUCAACAACGGAUCUCUUGGCUCUCGCAUCGAUGAAGAACGCAGC